AUUGAACGCUGGCGGCAGGCCUAACACAUGCAAGUCGAACGAGUGGCGGACGGGUGAGUAAUGUCUGGGAAACUGCCUGAUGGAGGGGGAUAACUACUGGAAACGGUAGCUAAUACCGCAUACCAUCAGAUGUGCCCAGCUGGGAUUAGCUAGUUGGUGGGGUAACGGCUCACCAAGGCGACGCUCCGUAGCUGGUCGGCGAGGAUGACCAGCCAAACUGGAACUGAGACACGGUCCAGACUCCGACGGGAGGCAGCAGGGGGGAAUAUUGCACAAUGGGCGAAAGCCUGAUGCAGCAAUGCCGCGGGUAUGAAGAAGGCCUUCGGGUUGUAAAGUACUUUCAGCGGGGAGGCGUUACCCGCAGAAGAAGCACCGGCUAACUCCGUGCCAGCAGCCGCGGUAAUUC
rnacentral:rRNA from 1 species